UGGCUCAGACGGUAAAGCGUCUGCCUGCAAUGCGGGAGACCUGGGUUCGAUCCCCGG
rnacentral:tRNA from 1 species